CUGAGAGCGACCCGGGGUCAUGUCCUCCCCGCACGUGCUCAGUUCCGUCUUCACAGAGUCAUAGCUUCCUGAGCUGUACUGGGGGGACUGGAGAACACAUGCGGCAUGUUAGGCAAAACCAAAUCUGAUGCCAUGCAAAAGGAGUUAAGUGUUCAGAUGCAAAAGUGCCGUAUUUAGUUUAAGUUGUUACAUUUUUAUGGCGAUGUAAAAGGUUUUUUCAUAGCCUUUAAAGUGAAAAAACUGAAUAUAAUAACCAGAGCAGCCAUAGCCAGAAUGUUUCAGAAGGCACUUAGAGGCCUUUGCAUCUGAGCUCUUCAAUUAUUAGUUGACAUAUUAACAUGUUCAUAAUCUCAUACCUUGUUUCCAUACUCGGUUUUGACUGGGAAUUUUCGGCUCGGGUCAGAUGCGUAGGAUCCGAGCGUCACGCCGGGCAACAGUCUGUCGCUCAGGUUGACGGGCUGCUGUCCCUCCUGUGAGGAAGAAGAGGAUGAAGUGCUGAAGUCCAGCGGCGCUGCUGCACCAUUACCGUUCACCUCUCCGUAAGGGACCACCCCCUCCGAUGCAGGAACUCCUCCGGUCGCCAUGGCAGCACCACCAGGCGGAGUCAACGCAGGCAGACCAUUCGCAGUGCUGCCAUUCUCCGAAGAGGAAUCAUCUGAGAGAGAGAGGGAGAGACACAAGGAAAGCAAACUUGGGACUAGUUGACCGCGAUGACCGGGUUUGAGUUCAGCGAAGAACAAUUUCGGAAACCAGGUAAAACAAAAGUUAAUAAAUAAAUAAAUAACCAACAGGCUGAAAACACGCGGUCACGAUGGCUUUUUUUUUUCUAGAUCGACAGCAAGCUGGCCUGGUCGGCUGAAGUGUAUAUUGCGCCCUCUGGUGGAUUUAUGCGAGAAGAGGAGGAAUUUGUGAUCAUCAAAAAGCAUACACAGCAGCCUCUGGUGGAUUUGCAAUAACAAAAAUCUGCGAUCAGACGUACCUCCGGUUAUGUUUUUAGCUGUCCCCUGAAAUGUAUACAGGGGUAUAUAUCCACAAUAAGCCUGGAUUGAAAAUAUGCAUUGUGUGGGCAAUGAGAUCUUAACAAACAAUAUAUAGUGUGUUAAAACAGCAAAAGAACCGAUGCACUCUGAUGGUGGGGUGCGUUUUUAAUCAUCAUCCUCUUGCCCUGUGUGUCUCUUAACAGAAAACAAGUCUGCCUUGAGUCAAAGGAGGGAUCCAUUAGUGCAUGGUUACAUUUAUACAGAGCACAGGAUGGGAAAAGCCUCAUUACUUCAUAAAACACAAGGAGUGGAUCACAAGCGCAUCCCAUAACAACCACACCAGACAGCGCAGAUAUCGAAAAUUACAAAGCAGAUUUGAGUAAACAAGAGCAGCGCCGGUAGCUACGCAGAAACUGUUUCUGUGGGAGAACACACACUUGAUAACGGCGGGAAAUGAAAGACAUAUCAAAUUAAUAAACCAGUCCCAGACAGUCACAAUUUGUUUGCUCCACCUAAACAGCAUUUUCAAGGGUUGAAAGCUCACUGAAUAGGGAUAAUACCCUCACCAGUCAAUUUAGUAAGUACACUUUGCUAGUACCGGGUUGCUUCUGAACUGCCUUGAUUCUUCUUGAUAGAUGUUGAAAAUUUUUUGCAGCAGACUUGUCGGCUGCACUUAUAUGAUGCAAAUCCCUAGCUCCAACAUCCCCAGGUUGCUCUACUGAAUUGAGAUCUGGUGUCUUUAAAGGUCAUUUGAGGCUAGUGAACUCAUUGUCAUGAAAGCAGUUUGAGAUGACUUGAGAAUUGUGACUCGUCACUUUUCUGGCAGUACAAAGGAUUAGUAAUAAUACUCUGUUGGUAAGCUGUUACAAGCUCAGUUGGUACUAAGGGGCAUAAAGUGUGCCAAGAAAAUGUACACACAGAUAUCACCUAUAUACUAUACAAAAUGUAGGUUGACCAUGUUUAUAUAUAACAAUUUAAAUUGUUAAAAGGUAUUAGUUAGUAGUUAUUUAAAGUUAUUAGUACCUAAUAGAUUGUUUUCAAUCAUGUGGUUCUGGUGAUGCGCGGAAUUCAGAUGGAGAGCAGGAGAUAAAAAAAAACUGAAUGGGGAACAUAGAGGAAAGUCUGUAUUUUUGCAAUUUAUACUAUAUUUUAAAGGAGAUAUAAAUAGAAAACAACCACAUACAGUAUGUUGGGAAUAAUCCUUAUGUCAUGAAGAAGACCAAGUUUUCUAUGAAGCUACAAUAUAUUUGCCAUCGAGACAAUAGAUAGCCCUUAUAGUAAGUACUAUAUUGUUUUGGAACAUACUGUGGUAAUAAAUUAUCCAUUAGGCAUUUUAGUAAUUAAACACCAUCACAAAGCACCACAGUUUACACUAACGUUACAGUAUUUAUUAGAGUUUAUUAGUGUACCAGUAUUCUGUAGCAUUUAUUAACAAAGAGCUGUACUAUAGAAUAUACACUUUACUAUCCACUUGUUAAGUGGUGAAGUGUUUGGGACGUAUGUAUACUGUUUCCGGGUCCAAGCCGCCAUUCAUUUGAGUGGAGAAAUCAUUCGUUUAUGAUCACGUUUUAUUCCCAUCACACAUUAAAGUUAAUUUUAUAUAAAAUCGUAGUGUAUACACAACAAUCUCUGGGCUUGCUGCAUAACAAAUACCAAAAAUUUAACAAUUUAUAAAAAAUGUAUCACUUUUUCGCCAUCGGAUAUUUGGCAUGGACAUAUAUACUGCGAUCGUGAUUUUCGAAAGCAUUAAAUCGUUUUGUAAACGUUUAUUAUUACCAUUUCAUGAGUCUCCCCAUUCAGUUGAAUGGAGCGCUUGGACCCGGAAGCCGAUUCACGUGACGUCACAUUUAACAAGCAGAUAGUGUGUGUUACGAGAACCAGCGAUCGCUCUCCGGAGAUCGCUGGUUUCCACUAUACUUGGACUACACUUCCGCCUUCUCCUGGACUACAUUUGCAUACAUGCACUUCGCCCAGACACCCAUGCUCACCUAUCUCGCUUGAUUACACUCACCACCUGAACCUUGUCAUAGACUGAUAGCAUUCCAUACAUAAGCCACUCAUGAUCCAGUCCAGUUUGCCGAGUCUUGUUUGCUACAUAGUGACAUUACAACGCCUUUCCCGUCUUGUUUUCUCCUUGUUAGACCUUAGCCUUGUAUUUCCUGUUCUCCUGUUUAGCCGCCUGCCUUUUGACCUGUUGCCUGUUAAUAAGACUACGAUUUUGGAUUUGCCUGCACAUACCUGUUAGUACCUGAUUUGUCCACUGCUUGCCUGUCGCUGAAUAAACCUGCUUAUUGGAUCUUACCUCCUGUUGUAUCUGUCACUCUACCC
ensembl:antisense